rnacentral:rRNA from 1 species
UACGUAGGGUGCAAGCGUUAAUCGGAAUUACUGGGCGUAAAGCGUGCGCAGGCGGUUAUAUAAGUCAGAUGUGAAAUCCCUGGGCUCAACCUAGGAACUGCAUUUGAGACUGUAUAGCUAGAGUGUGUCAGAGGGGGGUAGAAUUCCACGUGUAGCAGUGAAAUGCGUAGAGAUGUGGAGGAAUAUCAAUGGCGAAGGCAACCCCCUGGGAUAACACUGACGCUCAUGUACGAAAGCGUGGGGAGCAAACAGG